CAAGAAAGGAAGGAGAUGACUGUAAUAUGUGAUACGGUGUAUAGAGUAGCUUCCUUUUCUGACCCCUUUUCUAAUCAAGCGGAUCAAGAUUAUGACGAGAAAUUAAGCUGAGCAAAUAAAUUUUCAAAAACAAAAAAAAGAAAAUUUUGAAGAUUAUGAACGUGCAUCAGAAGCAUAAAAACGACAAUAUACAACAAAAUUUUAUGAAGCUGGCAUUGUAAACACAAAAAUGCAAUCAACUAGUCCAUACCCAAGAGGAAUUGAAGGGUCGGUGAAUUACAUUAUGUCAGCAUAUAUGUUUUAAUAUAGUGAAUGGGAUCAUGACUUUAAAGGAAACCCGUGUAAUCCAACACAAAAGAAUAAACAAGGA